rnacentral:rRNA from 1 species
UUGAUCCUGGCUCAGGACGAACGCUGGCGGCGUGGUUUAGGCAUGCAAGUCGAACGAGAACGCUUCUUCGGGAAGUAUUAAAGUGGCGAAAGGGUGAGUAAUAUAUCGAUAACCUACCCUCGAGAUGGGGAUAACCAUUCGAAAGGGCUGCUAAUACCCGAUAGUUUUGGUAGCUCAAGGGUUACGCGGUAAAUGGUGCUUCCGCUCGAGGAGAGGUCCAUGUCCUAUCAGCUUGUUGGUGAGGUAAUGGCUCACCAAGGCUAUGACGGGUAGCCGGACUGAGAGGUUGGCCGGUCACACUGGGACUGAGACACUGCCCAGACUCCUACGGGAGGCUGCAGUCGAGAAUCUUCCGCAAUGGGCGAAAGCCUGACGGAGCGACGCCGCGUGGAGGAUGAAGGCCCUCGGGUUGUAAACUGCUGUCACACGUUAAGAAAGGCAUGGGUUCGCCCAUGUCCUGACAAAGUCUUGAGAGGAAGUCACGGCUAGCUUCGUGCCAGCAGCCGCGGUAAUACGGAGAGGGCAAGCGUUGUUCGGAAUCACUGGGCAUAAAGCGCACGUAGGCGGAUCGUUAAGUCAGAUGUGAAAUCCCUCGGCUCAACCGAUGACCUGCAUUUGAAACUGACAGGCUAGAGUACAGGAGAGGGAAGCGGAAUUCCUAGUGUAGCGGUGAAAUGCGCAGAUAUUAGGAAGAACACCGGUGGCGAAGGCGGUUUACUGGACUGUUACUGACGCUGAGUUGCGAAAGCUAGGGGAGCAAACAGGAUUAGAUACCCUGGUAGUCCUAGCUGUAAACGAUGGGCACUAGGUGUAGGGGGUAUCAACUCCCCCUGUGCCGAAGCUAACGCAUUAAGUGCCCCGCCUGGGGAGUACGGCCGCAAGGCUAAAACUCAAAGGAAUUGACGGGGGCCCGCACAAGCGGCGGAGCAUGUGGCUUAAUUCGACGCAACGCGAAGAACCUUACCUGGACUUGAGAUAUAAGUGAAAGCUGUGGAAACAUGGGAGGAUUGCCUGGGGUGAAACGUAGACAGGUGUUGCAUGGCUGUCGUCAGCUCGUGUCGUGAGAUGUCGGGUUAAGUCCCUCAACGAGCGAAACCCUUGUCUCUAGUUGCCAGCGGGUCAUGCCGGGGACUCUAGAGAGACUGCCGUUGUGAAAACGGAGGAAGGUGGGGAUGACGUCAAGUCAUCAUGGCCUUUAUGUCCGGGGCUACACACGUGCUACAAUGGUCGGUACAAAGGGAAGCAAAACCGCGAGGUCGAGCAAAACCCACAAAGCCGACCCCAGUUCGGAUUGGAGGCUGCAACUCGCCUCCAUGAAGUUGGAAUCGCUAGUAAUCGCGGAUCAGCUACGCCGCGGUGAAUAUGUUCCUGGGCCUUGUACACACCGCCCGUCAAGCCACGAAAGCCGGCAGUGCCCGAAGUCGCGUACCCAACCUUCGGGAGGGAAGCGCCUA